AGGUGGUGCAUGGUUGUCGUCAGCUCGUGUCGUGAGAUGUUGGGUUAAGUCCCGCAACGAGCGCAACCCCUAUUGUUAGUUGCCAUCAUUCAGUUGGGCACUCUAGCGAGACUGCCGGUAAUAAACCGGAGGAAGGUGGGGAUGACGUCAAAUCAUCAUGCCCCUUAUGACCUGGGCUACACACGUGCUACAAUGGUUGGUACAACGAGUUGCGAGUCGGUGACGGCGAGCUAAUCUCUUAAAGCCAAUCUCAGUUCGGAUUGUAGGCUGCAACUCGCCACAUGAAGUCGGAAUCGCUAGUAAUCGCGGAUCAGCACGCCGCGGUCGAAUACGUUCCCGGGCCUU
rnacentral:rRNA from 1 species